rnacentral:misc_RNA from 1 species
AAGUCGUAACAAGGUUUCCGUAGGUGAACCUGCGGAAGGAUCAUUAAUGAAGUCUGGGCUUCGGCCCUCUCUCUUCUACACACUUGUGAACACACACCGUUGCUUUGGCAGGUCUCCGGACGGGGUUCUAAACCCUCGAAGGUCAGGUCGAAAGACGCCUGCCAGAGACAUUUACACACCUUUUUUAAUUCGUCUGAAUUUUGUUUUAUACAAACUAUAAAAAAACUUUCAACAAUGGAUCUCUUGGCUCUG